CUCUGAUAUAUGUAGUAUUUCUGUUGACUAGGCUGUUGCGGUAUAUCGAUAAUUAUCGUUUUUUUAUAAAUAUCGAUAUAUCGGAAUAUCGAUAUUUUUCGGUAUUAUCGAUAUCAUGUUUACGUUUGUAUACUUAAACGUCAUAUCAAGCUUUUUCAAGCGCUGAUUCGAGUUAUUUCAGAAGGUCAAAGUCGAUCAAUGUGCUAACUCCGCGGGGAAAUCCGUAAAUUAAGGUUAGAGCGCGAUCCAAAACGUAUUUGUUUUUACGUUGGCGUUACAAGGUGUAAUAUGUCAUUUCGCUUGUCAAAAAGUGAACUUUUAGGACGUAAAAACAACGGUGGAUUAUGAAUGUUUUAGAAAAACAAAACUGACUAACCUGAUUGGACAUUGUUUAUCUGGUGAGAUAGGACAAUCUUUGUUUCGAUCUCGCAGUUGAAUGAAAUGUUUUGAAAAAAUUUCCCGGUCAAAAAUAUCAAGUAAGUAAUAUGCAUUUUCAAUUCUUAAAGCGGACAUUUCACAGGCUACUGAUCACAGGCUACUACUGAUCACUGGUCUCACACUUUAGUGAAAAUAUCACGCACCUGAUGAGUCAAAGCUG